rnacentral:tRNA from 1 species
GGAGAAUUACUCAAGAGGCUGAAGAGGACGGUUUGCUAAAUCGUUAGGUCGGGUAAUCGGCGCGGGGGUUCGAAUCCCCCAUUCUCCG